rnacentral:misc_RNA from 1 species
AAAAAUACAAGAAAAAUAAAAGAGAGGAAAUGAAACUAAGUUAAAUGGACAAAACCGUACCAAUGGGUGACUGUACCGGAAAGUUGCGGCGUGGACCGUUGACUAGCCUUGCACCGCGGGGAACCCUAGAAAAUAUUUUUGGGACUUAAAUAAACAUCUAUUGAAAAAUAAAUGGUAUUAGAAAUGUCAAAGAAAAAUUAAAUAAUUAGU